GAGGAAGGGGAAGUAAGCCCACUGCUAUUUGUUUAGCCUACCAAAACCUUGGGUCCAGGUGCCAUGCAGACUAGACCACCAUGUCCCUGGAUAUGCCCUACUCUGAGCCAGUACACAGGGGUGAGCGAAAAAGAGUGAAGAGUAUGUGAAAUCUUGGCCCUGACCCCAUUAAUCACUGGCGAGAGUAGCUGUCAUAUUCAAAGGAAGAAUCGGCUAACUUGCUUUCAAGGGCUGCAGUAAUGUACUUCCUCCUCUCAGGUAAAGUUAUUUUCCAUGAGCAACAGGGAAGAACAAAGUCUAAGAGGGAAGUGUCUUAGACCCAGUGUUUCCUGAGUCUGCUGUAAGUUAAUGGCUUCUUCAUUUUGAGACAGGGAGAGAGAUCAACACAGAAGUAAAUGUUAGAAAUGUGUGUGUGUGAGGGAGAGAGAGACUUUUUUGUUUUUUACCUUUUACAUCUUGUGGCAGUGCACAAGAGGGGACUUGUCACUUUAAGGGUUGGAGGCAGGCAACCAGCAAGUGCAUGAUUAGGAUGGCCAUGUUAGGACCCAGUUCUUACAGGGUGAGGCAGCAUUUUGCAGCCAGCCACUGAGAGAGAAACAUCAGCCUGCUGAGCUAUGGCUCAGGAACAUCUUGGAGAGGCAGCUGCCCAGAGAGAACGUCUGAAUGGUGGUGAUCUAUCAAAAAUCAUUAACAUUCUCUAACUUGAUCUGGAGCUGGUUUGUGGGAUAGAACGGAUACCAUCUGGGUUGACAAUGCACUUUACACUCUGGAGAAACUAUACAGGAUAAGAUGUAACUGCUGGCAAAGAAGAAGGAUCAUUUAACCUGAAGCAAAGAAUUUUGGGAAAGCCUUGUGGUUGCUGUCGCUAUCUGGUUUGCAUGCAAGGACACCCUUAAUUUCUAGGAAAGUUGUUUCCUGGGCCACAUUUUAAAUGGUUCUGUUAACAGCUGGUGGCAUGUUGCUCCCUGGGGUUACUCAGCUGGUCCUGGAUUGUGACAUUUGGUGACUGUAUAUUUUUAGGUGAUAGUAGCAAAUAGUUGCACUGGCCACUUUCCAGUGCAUUUUUAGCUCAACAUUUGCCUUUGCAAGCUUUCCUGCAAACAAAAGAUAGAUCAGGGCUGUGCACUUUUUCAAAUGAAUUGUAGACUUGCAUGCCAAGUAAAAGGCUUUUCAAAGGAUUAAAGUGGCAGAUGCAUAUACCAGGGAUGAAUUGUACUCUACUGUUUAUAUGUUUCCCUGACUACUUCUGGAGUUAGUAGUAGUCAGUUUGCUUUAUACUUUACCAGCCAGAAAAGACAUAGGUAUGCUGACAGCAAAAAAAUAAAAUAAAAUCUGAAACUCAAAAUUCUGACCCAGAAACAUAAAUUUAAUUAUUCUAACAUGCUUAGCUUUGAAUUCAAAGGUUAACAGUUGAAAGAAAGUCCAUCAUAUCCAUUUUAUAUUGUUUAAAAUCCAUUUGCUUCAAACUUCUCUUCUUUAUCUCAGUGAUAUACCAGCAUACUCAGAAAUUAUGGGUAUAAUCACAUAAAUGAUUUAUCGUGGGAUAAAAAGGGGUGAGGUUUUUCUGUGUAUCAGCUGCUCCAUGGUAACUGCCUCUGUGCAUGUUCUUACUCCGCAGACUAAAAUCUUAGGGGCAGCUAAACCAAAGUAGCUUACCCUCCUUGCGCUGACAGCUAUGCUACCACAGUUUAACUUCCUCUAAAUAUAUGUAGGGUAAGAACAUACACAGAACAGUUACCUGGAGCAGCUGAUUCACAGUGAAGUCCUGUGCAUUUUACCUGCCAGUAAGAUGUCUGCAUGUCCAUGAGCUACAACUAUAAAUGUUUAUAUAUGUAAAUGGAAUGAUGAUGUCUGUUUGCUCCUCAAGUGUUAUAUUUUUAACCCUACAUAGUUGCAGUGUAUGGCACAUCUAGAAUCUGGCUCCAGAGACCAACGAGGAGGGGACCUAAUAGACAACAUUGUGCUGGAAGAGUACCCGCAGAUCCUCCCAGCUCUAGUUUUGAGCUAGGUCUAUGUCCCUGAUGAGUGUGUGUAUAUAUAUGUGUAUGUAUAAUAUAUAUAAUAGCAGCUACAGUGAUGGCGAAGAGGUUCCUGGAGACUGAGGUGCCCAGGACUGAAAAACAGCCCCAUAAAAGGGAAAUCCAACCACAAAUAAAGUUACUUAUCUGCCCAUUUCAGCAAUUUAUCAAAAUGUUAAUAUAUUCUGUUCCUGCUUUCCAAGAAUUUCAUAAUCUUUCCCAGCUUUUCACCUGAAUUUGAAUUUUUGAAUGUAUACAACCUGAUGAGCAUGACUUUCUCUUCUAUCAUCUAGAAUGACUGUUAAUGAAACAAUGAUCUGGAAUGGAUCCUUUAGGAUCCUAUUCAAUGCAUCCUUCCAAUUUUAUAGUGAAUUAAUUGAACUAUCAAUAAUUACUCUGUAUUUAAUUGUGUUCCAAUUUUAUAUCCAAUUUUUAAUAAUCACAUUGAAUACACAUCAUUACCCUACAAUGGAAUAUUAUUUCCAGUAUAAAGGCCAUUGCAUAGCUUUUAUCAAAGAAAUAUUAUGGUAUGACUUAUAUUUAUCAAAUCCAUGUUGACUGUUAGUAACUGUUUCAUUAUCUGAUCUAUCAAUAUAUCACAUAUGUUACUGGUCUAUACCUUCCUGAGUGAGAUAAGAUUCUUUGGGCUGUGUUAUGCAGAAAGUCAGACUACAUGAUCAUCAUGGUUCCUUAUAGCAUUGAAAUUUAUGAAUUUACAUCAUAAUGGAAUGUUUCAGUUACUGGGAUGCCAAGAAGUCCUCUAAACCCCUUAAAAAUGACAGCCUGUGAUUGUGACAUCUACUAAUUCCUUUAUUGUUCUACCCUAAAUUUUAUUGGGAGCUAUUGAAUCUGUCAUAACCAACUCUUAGGAGCUAUCCAAGAUGAUAAACUGCUUCAUCAUCAGUACUAAGUGCCUAUAGCACACAAUAGGACCCAGCAAUAAGCACUAUAAAGAACAGUUGUCCUAGUUCACAGAAUUAUAUGAAUUUGAGAAAGCCACUUCAAAACACAGCCUGCACACCCUCUUAGAGGUAAGCAUACUCAUACUUACAGAUGGAUUGGCUGUCCUAAAGGAUCCUUGAUCUGAAAUCAUAGAAAAUUCAUAGAAAAUUAGGGCUGGAAGGGACCUCAGGAGGUCAUCUAAUACAAUUUCCUGCUCAAAGCAGUACCAUCCCCAACUAUGUCAUCCCAGCCAAGGCUUUCUUUAGCCAGUUCUUAAAAAUCUCUUGAGGAUGGAGAUUCCACAACUUCUCUGGGUAACCUGUUCUAGUGCUUUACUGCCCUCCUUGUAAGAAAGUUUUUCCUUAUCUAACCUGAACUUCCCUUGCAGCAACUUAAGACCAUUGCUCCUAGUUUUGUCAUCUGCUACCUCUGAGAACAGACUAGCUCCAUCCUCUUUGUAACCACCCUUCAGGUAGUUGAAGGCUGCUAUUAAAUCUAAGAAUCCAGUCAUGCCUUUCUUAAUUCAUGAAAGUAAAUUGUCAGUAACUUAAGAAACAGAAAUAGAAAGACUGAGAUGAUUCAUUCAGAGGAGGAUUCUUCCCUUCUUCCCUCAGCUAUGUAAUAGCACAGCCAAUACUGAAGAAACACGCACUCAGCACACUGUUUCUAGCCAACUACCAUCCAGUAUCAAACCUUCUAUUCUUGAGCAAGCUCAUAGAGAAGAUAGACAAAAUCUAACUACAAGCUCAUCUACCUACAGCUAAUACUCUAGACCCAGUACAGUCUAGAUGCAUGUAAAGAUUACAGGUUCAAAAACACUUAAGGAGUACUGAUGGAUGAUCUAUUGUUUCAUCAUCCUGGAUCUCUCUGCAGCAUUUAAGAACGUUGAUCCCAAGUAUUUCUGUUUUCCAUGAGAAUGGUGUAGGGGAAUGCACUGAAAUGGUUUAAGUCCUUCCAGGCAAGACUCAUUCAGAAAAUAAUGAUGGGAAAAUGUACCUUUACCUCUCAGGCCCUGACUUGAGCAGUCCUAGGAGAUUAAUUUUUUUUCUCUAGUCCUUGUCGCAGGGCACCUUGGUGCCCCUGCUCCUAGAAAGGAGAAACUACCAGGGAGCGAGUGAGCGCGCCCUGGCCUGACAUAACGAGCCCAGCUGAGGGUUGCUCAGGUAAUGAGCGCAGCUGUGGGUUGCCGGAGCAACCAAGGGGAACCAGCUGCCGGUAGGAGGCAGGGCCUGGCCCUUAUAAAGCUCAGAGCUGAGGCCAGGCUGGCAGUUCUCUGCCAGCAGCCGGAGAGGCAGGAGCUCCCUCAGCUGAGAUAUGGGGAGAAGCCUGACGGGCGAGUACAGCUCAUGAUAGCCCUGAGAGGAUUGGGCACUAAAGGUUUAGCCAGGGGGCUUUAGGUUUGUGUUACAGCCAGGAGGCUUGAGUUUGUUUGACUUUGUUAUUACACCCGGAGGCUUGGGUGAGGCUGUAGGGGUUGGAGGAGGCCUCAAUCAUAGGGACCCCAUAAGUGUGGGGUGCCCUAGAGCCACAAGGGCGCAUUAUUGUCAUAGCGCCAGGGAAGGCGCAGCUUGCAUGCCAGUGCGUGAGCAACUGGCGGCGAGGAGCGCGGCCAGUGGGUCGCGGGCGCAACCGGUAGGUUGCAGACGGGGGACCGAGACCCCGGAUUGCGUGCGGGGUACAUAGACCCCAGCCCCAGGGAGAGGGGUGAUCUGAUUGAGAAGCCCCGUGGGGGCACGGCGAGCCCCAAAGAGGGGGAGCGCCAUAGUAUAUGAUUGGGAAGCCCCGUGGGGGCACGGCGAGCCCCAAAGAGGGGGAGCGCCAUUGUAUAUGAUUGAGAAGCCCCGUGGGGGCACGGCGAGCCCUAGAGGGGCCAUAUCGAGGAGCCCGAGACGGGCAUAGCGAGCCUGGCCGCAGGCUAGUGCGGCAACACCCCUCAGACCGAGGCAGGGCGCUGCGGUUGCCCCUGAGAAGACGGGGAGUAGCAGCGCGGUGAGCUGGGGUCAGAGAGGGUACCCAUGCGGUUGGCCGGAAGGGCCAGGGCCCGCUAGGGAGUCCCUGAGCGGGACCGCACCAUCAGGAGAGUCCCAGUGAGAGGCUGGGUGCGAAAGAGAGUGCCCAGCAUGGGCUACACUUUAGAGGCGGCCCAGGAAGCGGGCGUACAGACCUAACAACAUCUAUUACAUCUGCAAGGCUUGGGGCGUGGUAUUAGGGGCUGGUAGGAGCCAUGCACAGCCCAUAAGGCUGGGGUGCUUGAGUAGCACCCAUCGUACGGGGCGACCCACAAGGGGUCCAGGAGCUUACGUGCCCGAGGAAACACAAGGCAGCCUCCCUAUUACAUAUUCCAGCAAGACGUGGCGGGCGAGAAUGGAGGGUGCCCUCGGGCCGAAGUAGUGCGGUGAGAGGGCCUCAAGGAGAUCACGGCCCUCCGCGAGGACCCCGCCGUGACAGUCCUCAUUAUCUACAUGUAGCCAACAGGUGAGCAAGGAAAAAGACAUGGACUCCGGGGCUGUGUUCAGAUGAGCACAGAUGUGUGGCAUAUAGUGCCGCAAAACUGGCUGUAGCACCACACAUUGUACAUGCAGGUGUUCCCCAUGCUGCUACCUUUCAGUGUGGGGGGUGGUUGACCCCAGGAGAUCCCGGGGUCAAAAAUACUCAUGCCAAAAAAAAAGGGGUGGUGCACAUGGCGGCAGCACACAUUGCCGAAAACUGGAACCUGGCCAGCUAGAGUCGAAUUCUGGCUUCUAGCUAGGCUCCCAGCUGCAGGAGCGCUGUGGCUGCAACUCCCUGAGGCUCCCAGAGGCCCCGAUAAGGCUUCUGGGGCCAGCACAAUUACUGGCCCUAGCCUCCCCUACCACACUCAGGGUAACAAGGUGUGCUAAUGCUACUUGUCCCUGGGGGAACAAAUGUCCAUGCUCAUUUGGACAUGACCCAGAAUGGCAAACUGCAGAAUACACAUUGUCCUUUCAAGACAUUGGACCAUUCCACUACCCCUAAGGUACCCGGUGUUUACAAGAGGGCAGCUCAAGGAUGAAAAACAGUUGAUGAAGAGGUGAGUCCAGGCAAGAGAGAGAUAAUGCUAGUGGGGAAAAGAAAGUACUUUGAAGAGUUUACAUCCAUGAUGCAGUGACUUUUUUUGUUGAAAUCAGUCAAUUCAGACUGUAGUUUAGAACUGUUUCUGAAUUCCUUACUAAACUUUUGUAGAGCAGCAUCCAAGAGUAAUAACAUCUAAUUUCAGGUUAGCUAAAUGAUUCUAUCCUAUCUUGGCAGAAGAUGAUCUGUCUUCAGGUUUCAACUGCAUUUAAACCUUUCUAAGUGUUGUGUGUGUUCAUGCCCUAGAAGACCACCCAAAGCCCUCAGAGGAAGAUCAUGUUUAACAAAUAGGUUCCUUAGGCGCUGUGGAAUUUUCUGCAACAAAGAGAAAGACUGUCUGUGGAGGAGGUUUCUUUCAGGUCAAUCUGAGACUGAGGAACAAACUCCUUAAGAACUAUCACAAGCUUUACCACCUUCUUUUCUAAGUGCAAAGAGCAUCUCUAUGACCUUACCUCCUCUAAUAUACACACACAGAGAAGCACGUGUGUUUGAAGAAACCCCAAAUUAAACCUCACCAAAAGACAACACAGCUGUACAUCCAAUUUUCCCUCCUCCCAGCCUCCAGAAGGGGAAAAGAGAGAGAAUGAACCACAUGUAACAUAUGUUAGUCACGUCACUUAAUACACUGCUAGAAAGCUGGUGGAUACUAUAGUGACACUGGUGAUAUAUCCUAAGAAAUAGAAUAAGAUUCUCUGUCUCAUCCUUUCUGUCUUUGAUUUGCCCAACCUUUUUCCCCACAAUCACUCUUUUUCACAUACAUGCACAGACAGCAAAAUCGAAGCAAAAUGGAGAGCUUUGAGACAGCCUCAAAAUGAAAUGAAGCAAGUCAAAACGUUUUGAAAUUUUCAAAAUGUUUUGAGUUCAGAAGCUCAAGCUGGACUUUCCUGUAGGGAAAAAGAAACUGAAAUAAGGAGAGGGAGGGGGAAGAGGGGAAAAGGAGGGGUGAUCUCAUUAUUGACCGUGUAGCUGGCCAGUGAUGCCAUCCUUUCCUGAGGUCCCUUCCAAUCCCAGUGCUCUGGGGGAGGGAUGGAAAAACUGCAUAAAAGGCAUCAUUGUUUGAACUACCCUUCUUUCUGCCUUGGUGUCAGUUGAGUGAGGGUGCACCUUAACACACACACAAUGUCACGCCCCCAUGUCACGAGUUUUGCCUGUCAGCAGCUAGAGGUGCAGGGCCCCAGAACCCAGACUCCCCCUGCACCUAUUUCCUUGACAGCUAGCAGACCUGCAGUUUUCACCCCCCUGUGCCCCAAGACAGACAGUCUCACAAGCACUCAUGUCACGAGUUUUGCCUGUCAGCAGCCAGAGGUGCAGGACCCCAGAACCCAGAAGCCCCUGCACCUCUCUCCUUGAAAGCUAGCAGGCUUUGUGGCCUCAGCAGGGGCACGAAGCCUGCCACAGGUACUCAGUUGUUGCACUCUUCUCCCAGAAGAGAAAUGGGUGUAGGGGUUAAAUGAGCUGAUGCAACUGUAUUGGACCACACUACUGAAAGGCUGGGGCAUUG